AUACAUGCAAGUCGAACGAAUCUUCUUCGGAAGAUGAGUGGCGAACGGGUGAGUAAUACAUAGGUAACCUGCCCCUGUGCGGGGGAUAACAGGAGGAAACUCCUGCUAAUACCGCAUAGCCAUGAGCACCGCAUGGAGCUCAUGCCAAAUAUCCUUUCGGGGAUAGCGCAGGGAUGGACCUAUGGCGCAUUAGCUGGUUGGCGGGGCAACGGCCCACCAAGGCAACGAUGCGUAGCCGGCCUGAGAGGGCGGACGGCCACAUUGGGACUGAGACACGGCCCAGACUCCUACGGGAGGCAGCAGUAGGGAAUUUUCGGCAAUGGGGGAAACCCUGACCGAGCAACGCCGCGUGAGCGAAGAAGGCCUUCGGGUCGUAAAGCUCUGUUGUAAAGGAAGAACGGCACAUACAGGAAAUGGUAUGCGAGUGACGGUACUUUACCAGAAAGCCACGGCUAACUACGUGCCAGCAGCCGCGGUAAUACGUAGGUGGCGAGCGUUAUCCGGAAUCAUUGGGCGUAAAGAGGGAGCAGGCGGCCGCAAGGGUCUGUGGUGAAAGACCGAAGCUAAACUUCGGUAAGCCAUGGAAACCGGGCGGCUAGAGUGCGGAAGAGGAUCGUGGAAUUCCAUGUGUAGCGGUGAAAUGCGUAGAUAUAUGGAGGAACACCAGUGGCGAAGGCGACGGUCUGGGCCGCAACUGACGCUCAUUCCCGAAAGCGUGGGG
rnacentral:rRNA from 1 species